UGCAGAUCCUCUAUGUUUUGGUGUGUUGCAUUGGUUUCACCAAACAAGAAACUGCUCAUCUCGCGGAAAAAAUAAUUAGCCACGUAGUGAACGCCCAUCUUUCUGAAUGCCAUGUGGUGCUGCUUAGCCCGAUCCACCAGUCAUCAUCGUUCCGUUUUGGAAAAAGUGAGACAACAAAAGGCUUUGUAGUGAUGUCGAAUUUGGUGGACCAUUUGACGUUUUUUAAGGCUUUAUUGGGAGACUUCGCCUGUACUUGUCGUGGAUUUGUUCUUGAGGUUGGCAACACAUUGCCCAUCGUCACGAAAAUACUCAGGUUGUUGGAAGAGACGGGAUUUUGGAAACUCCCUGACACUCGGGUAGUUGUAGUGGGUGAAGAAAAACUGCUGGAUUACGUGUUGCUCCACUCCAGUUUCCGCAACACAGUUCAUGCCGUCUA